rnacentral:lncRNA from 1 species
CUACAGUUCAUGACACAAUCUGCGUGGGUCAGACCUGUCUAUGGACUGCAUGUCCAGGCAGUAGGGACUCAUUCUACAGUGUAUAUGGGCUAUAUACACCCCACAGGGACUGCCCAGACUUCUAAUGUGGAAUGCAUCGUCUGACUUCCUUUCCCCCUGCCUGGGCCCAAGCCUACUUCUGUACCAGAGCCCUACAGCCUGGCACGUUUCUACAGACAGCUGCCUGGCAUAUUUCAAACAGUCACUGCAUCACACACCCUCCGUGGGACAGUUUGAAGGAGACUGGUUGAGCUGUACCAUCGGAGGGGGCAAUGUAAGGCUCUUGCUGGGACAGCGCACUGUGACAACGUCCAGUUCUGUUGGGGGAUGUCGCCCUGGGGGACCUCGAACAGCUCCUUCAAGCACAGUCCCAGGCCAUCUGUAAUUGCUCCAGAAGCAAAACCGCCUCAGAAACCACCGUGAACACAAGUUGCUCUGCAAAUCCAAUGCAGCAGCCCCUGGCUCCCCUCCAGUGCUUCGAUUUGGGGAUUAGACAGUCGCCAUCCCUACUGAUCAGGGUAUCAUGAAUGGCUCUGGGCUCAGUUCUCCUGCACCUGGUCAAAUUUUUUGCAGACACGAGCCAGGAUGACGGGGAGUGCCCAGGGAUGUGGUUCUCUCCCGGUAAUCAGCUCUGAGCCAUUUGAGCCUCUCUCUCCAUUUACCACCAGUCUGUCAAGUCGCAGCGUGGCCGGUUUAUCUCCUGUUUCAUGGAACACAUGGUCACUCCUGGUGCUCCUGCUAACCUUGCCUGUCUUGCUUGCCUCACAGCAGAGACCAGCCAGAUGCUGACCGUGGUCCCGUGACCAGGGAAGCAGCAUGCUUGGCAAAGGACUUCUAGCUAAUGCAGGAGAUGGUUAAGUCUGAUUCCAACUCAGUGGUCAAAAUAAAAUGGAAGGGUUAAUUGCUGAGCAGCUGUGUUUGAACCAGAUUUCUUCAGUACCCUGGAAGCCGAUUGCCUGGGCCUGGGAUAGAAAGGCCAAGAAACACUGGGAUCAUGGGAGAGUGUCGGCGGCUCUUAGGACAUGAGGAUUGGGGGUUUAUGGAGGCACAGAGUCCCUCCUGCAGGUCAGGGUGCCUCGU